rnacentral:piRNA from 1 species
UAGUUUGUAGUGGACAGUGGCCCUUA